UACAGGGGGGGCAAGCGUUGUUCGGAAUUACUGGGCGUAAAGGGCCAGUAGGCGGCCAACUAAGUCCGACGUGAAAUCCCCAGGCUUAACCUGGGAACUGCGUCGGAUACUGGAUGGCUUGAAUUCGGGAGAGGGAUGCAGAAUUCCAGGUGUAGCGGUGAAAUGCGUAGAUAUCUGGAGGAAUACCGGUGGCGAAGGCGGCAUCCUGGACCGACAUUGACGCUGAAUGGCGAAAGCUAGGGGAGCAAACGGG
rnacentral:rRNA from 1 species